AAGGCAUUAAUAAAACAGUUAUAUAACUUUGUCRAAGUUAAAUUAUAGGUUAAAUCCCUUUAUGCCUUC
rnacentral:tRNA from 1 species